rnacentral:rRNA from 1 species
AGAGUUUGAUCCUGGCUCAGAAUCAACGCUGGCGGCAUGCCUAACACAUGCAAGUCGAGCGAGAAAGGGUAGCAAUACCUGAGUAAAGCGGCGCACGGGUGAGUAACACGUGGAUAACCUGCCUCAAAGUGGGGAAUAACACCGGGAAACCGGUGCUAAUACCGCAUAUUCUGACGAGGUCUGCGGAUUUCGUCAGGAAAGGAGCAAUUCGCUAUGAGAGGGGUCCGCGGCUGAUUAGCUAGUUGGUGAGGUAAUGGCUCACCAAGGCAACGAUCAGUAGCCGGUCUGAGAGGACGGUCGGCCACACUGGAACUGAGACACGGUCCAGACUCCUACGGGAGGCAGCAGUGGGGAAUUUUUCGCAAUGGGGGCAACCCUGACGAAGCAAUGCCGCGUGGAUGAUGAAGUCUCUUGGGACGUAAAAUCCUUUCGACGGGGACGAAACCGCAAGGUUGACGUACCCGAGAAGAGCCCCCGAA